rnacentral:rRNA from 1 species
AUUGAACGCUGGCGGCAGGCCUAACACAUGCAAGUCGAGCGGAUGAAGGGAGCUUGCUCCUGGAUUCAGCGGCGGACGGGUGAGUAAUGCCUAGGAAUCUGCCUGGUAGUGGGGGAUAACGUCCGGAAACGGGCGCUAAUACCGCAUACGUCCUGAGGGAGAAAGUGGGGGAUCUUCGGACCUCACGCUAUCAGAUGAGCCUAGGUCGGAUUAGCUAGUUGGUGGGGUAAAGGCCUACCAAGGCGACGAUCCGUAACUGGUCUGAGAGGAUGAUCAGCCACCUUGAAACUGAGACCGGUCCCGGCUCCCUCGGGAAGGCGCCGUGGGGAAUAUUUGGACAUGGGCGGAAAGCUUGUCCAGGCCUGGCGCGGGGGUGGAAGAAGUCUUCCGGUUUUUAAGCACUUUAAGUUGGGAGGAAGGGCAGUAAGUUAAUACCUUGCUGUUUUGACGUUACCAACAGAAUAAGCACCGGCUAACUUCGUG